rnacentral:lncRNA from 1 species
GCUAAUGAAAACAGAGUGAUGAGCAGAGCAGUGGCUAGAUCUUCAGUUCAAUUCUUCUGUUGUUUGUAUUAAUAGAUGACAUCUUCUGAAAAUUUCUUAAUAAUUAUAUUUGGCAUUUAAGAAACAAAAUACAAUUGUCUUUUCCUAUAUUUUUAAGUCUAUUUAAAUUUUUGACUUACAAGCUAACUUAUCUUUAUUUCUCUAAUCCUAGGCAUCCACUAAAAACAGUCUCUAUUAGUGUAUAUUUUGCAAGUAAUCAAAAUCACAGUAACUGAGGAAAAUUAGGACAAGCCUAAUAGUAGCCAAGCUCUAAAUAGGCUUUAAAAUAAAAAUAGGAUAUGUGACUCAGAAUACAGUACUAGUUCUUCAUCUUACAGAUGUUCUCAGCCAUCGGAGUCAGCGUGGGCUAUGACACUGAAAAGACAGCAUCUCUGACCACGGAAGGGACAUGACAGAAAUGCUGUCAUGAUAUUUAUAUUCCACCUACUCGAAAGACCAAUUGAGAAACUCCAUAUGGACUCCAGUUUGCCACUAGCCCACAGAAUUGAAGUUUCUUAGCUGGCUUAAAUUAAGAAUUUUGGGGCAUUCAUUGGAAUCAGCUUCGAUGGAGGAAUAACUGAACCACUGUGUAUACAGACAGAUCAUAAAGCGGUGAACUGGGCUAUUGAAAUACUGAAGCUUUCCCAAAAAACUUUUGCCAUAUUUAUUUAUAUAAUGCAAAGUAAAAUAGUAAUAUCUUUCUUUCAAAAAA